UCGUUAGCUCAGUGGGUAGAGUGCUAGACCUUUACUCUAAUGGUCACGAGUUCGAGUUCCUUACGAAGAU